UCCACAACAAGAUCAAAAAUGGAUUUGGAACCCGUAAUGAAAGAACAAAAUGACAAAUUAAGCUUUAUUCUUGAGAAUUUAGACCCUUUUUUUCACCACUAUAUUCGAUUCAUUGCUACUAUAUUGUAUUGGAUUAUCAUUAUCAUAUUCUCAUCUAUUUAAUCUAAUUUUUAUUUUUUAAGAAAAUAAAUCAUGAUUCUUCCAUUAUUUUGUAUCAUGGUGGUUUUUUCUGAGCUUUUGCAUACGACUAAAGUAAUGCCGGACAGGUUCCCUGCCAACAUUUUGGUACAGAUUUUGGACCUAUUUUAUCUUUUUUAUGAUUAAAAAAAAUAGAAUGAUUUUUAACACUAUCACAUAAAAAAUAAUGUAUGAAAAUGGAUUGAUUACCUGUUGGACCUGUGUAGAAAGCGAUUUGCCUGCAAAAAUUUAAUAAGAAUCAAAGAUGAGAGGAUAAUUGUAAGAUCCUGAUUAUAUUAUUUAUUAGAAAAUUGGAAAAGAUUAAUUGAAUUUGAGAAUAAUUGUUAAUUAUAAAACUCUUACUCUGUCAAGAAGCUGACACGUUCAGCAAGCGGAGUGAGCCCAAGUAAACUCAAUGCGAACACCCAUGACUGUUCAAAAAAUAAAAUAAGAAUGCUGUGAUGAAGGAUCGACGAGUUUUAUAUAUAUAUAAUUGACUGAUACAAACAUUUUGAGUUGGUGGAGCAUAAUCAAAUUUGUAAAGAAUACAAAUUUACGUUUAUCUCGAAUAACGAACAUUUCCAAGUUUGUUAUCCUUUUUAUCUCUAACAUCAUUUUAUCACUUUUAUCUCGAAUAAUCCUUUCAUUAACAUUGUGAUCAUCAAAACAAAAGACGUAUUUAUGUUUAAAUUAUUUUUCUAUCACAAUUAAUGAAAGCAAUCAAUUCAAGUGAAAAUUACAAAAAUCAAAGCAAAUUUUGAACGUUACAUUAUUAACUGCAUUCCAAUUCAAAUAAAGACACAAAUCACAGCAAAAAUUCAUUACCAUAAAAUCGCCAAAACAAGAUAGAAAUUGGAGCACUUAAGUGGAUCCCCAAUUCCAUUUUAUAAGGGAAAAAAAUCAUCAAAAAAAAAAAAAAAAAAGGCUUCCCAGAUAAUGAGGCUUCAAAUAUGAUUUCUGAAAGGGGGAACCUCAAUUUUAGCUUGGGGGGUCACUUGACCCAUCAAGAUCCACUGUGGGUCCACCACUGAUUAUAUGUAAGAGAUUCUCAAUCUGCUAUGUUUUUAGCAAUAAAUUUGUGGCGUGAGAAAAAUUUACAUGCGGUUUGACAUAAUCUUUUAAGCAUGCCAGUAUGGAUUAAUUAAUUCAAUUUUGUUACACAAACAGGUUCAAUGAUAAGAUUUAAAAAUAGGGAACACUUGUUAAACAUUUAUUGAACAGUUUUUUAAUAAUAAAAAAAGAGCCACGAAGGUAGUGCCAAUAUAGGCCCCGUUUAGGAGGGAUUUUGAAAAUUGAUCUUUUGACCAUUAGAAGAAAAGUAAGAUCCACCUGUGAAAGAAGAAGUCAAAAUUAUGGCUGAAAUAAUGAAAUAACUAUCAAAAAAUCAAUUUUUUGUUGUAAAAAAUCCUUCCCAAACAGGCUAAUAGUAACUAUCAAAAACCCUGUUAAAAGCCCCAAUUCAAGUAGCAAUAUUCUAAUUCAUUAGCCAAAUUGUGUAAUAAUUCUUUGUCCAAGAAAAUUCAAAAAGGAUAAUUAAUUUUGACCCGGUUUGAAUAAAUAUGAAUUUAACACUAAAUCAGAAAAAAAAAAUUAAAAGAUAGAAGAAACGUGUGUUGGUUCUAUUUGAAAAAUGAAAACCCUAACAAAAUAUAGAGAAAUGAUGGCACCCAAAUUUUCGAUUUUUCAGAUAAAUUUAUCAUGGACACGGCAUAUCAGACGAGGAAAAAGUUACGGUGAAUACUAGGUAAAACAGACGAGAAAACAUAGUAAUCAACAAAAAAAAAAAAAAACUGCUCACUCUUCCAAAGUUUUUACACUCAGCAGCGAUGGCAAAAGGAAUUGCCAGAAACAAAAUCGAUAGCUUUGUUCCCAACAAAACCACUUGCAGAUUAACCAGAAUAUUUCGGAGAAAGUCUUGUCGAACUUUGGAAACAAGGGUUAGGUCCGAUUUUUUGCGCAGAGACGAAGAGGACAUGUUAUGCGCAGUCCGGCAGUGGCUGUGGCCAUGGCCGUGCUUCAUGUCCUUCGUCAGGCACCGAACGCUUCCGUUCUCCAGUAGCCAUGGUUCGGUAGAAGCCAUUUUUCUCUCUCUAAAAGGAGAAAACAAAGUUUAUAUAUAACUCAACACCGGCAAUGCCAAAGCAAGAUAUGUGUGCAUGCAGUAACGAGCUAAUGUGCGAGUAUAUAUACAUAUACAGUGUAUUCAAGAUCACAUAGAAGGCACCUUCGCAGAAGUUUCGCUUUUGGAGCUUUACUGGGAAUCAACUGUCCAAUUUGUUGUCCAUCAAUGAAUGAUUAACACAUCAUUUGUGUCAUCUAAUUUUAAGCACGAGUGACGCGAGAUAAAAGUAGUAUAUGUUAAUUUGAAAUUAUGCGUCAAUCAUUCACUGUGUGAACAGUAAAUUUUGGACAACGAAUCUCUGGGGUGAGGGUAAUGGACUCGUAUGUAAAAAUUUAUUUUCCCUUGAAAAAUGUCAUCUAUAUUUGUGUCUUGGAGAAAUAUCAUCUAAUGAACUCUAAAAUCAUUGGGUUUUAAUUGGAUUAUUGUGAGCGGAACGAAUGGGGCGCCCGCUUUUGAGAGAAAUAUAAUAGUUUUUGUGUGCAUAACAUUCAUGGCAAAUGUAGUAGGUUUUUUUAUGAAGGUCAAAAUUCAAACCUUUAUUAUUGGGGUGAAAUAACCGUAGAAUACAAUUAACUCAGUUAUGAGAAGUCGGGAUAGUACUAACCUUCCCGAGUUUUAUGACAACUACAGAGACCUCUCCUCUAUUUUUAAAAUUUUCAAAAACCUCCCAUGAGGUUUACUUUUGCUAACAUAUCACCCUUGUCAUCAAAGGUAUAUAUUUAUUUUCUUUCUUAUUAUUUCUUAAGAUAUAUAAUUUCAUACUAUUUUUUAUUUUUUUAUUUUUUAUAUCUUUAUGUUUUUGCAAAUAUGAUUGACAAAUAUUAACAAAAAAAUUAUUUGGAAUAAUUUAAUAAAACUAAUUGAAAAUUCAUUGCAUAUUUUAUAUUGCUAAUUUAGUAUUGUAAUUUUUAUUUUUUUUUAUAAUCUUCACAUUUACAUUAUAUAAAUAUUAGAAAACUAAAUUAAUGUUAUUGUAUUUUAAUGCAAAAAAUUAGCAUUAAAAGUUUAUAGGCUAGAUUUCUUCUUUUAGUUGAUUUUGUAUUAAAUAUUUUAAAUUAAUUUUAAUUUGUUCAUUUUUUCAAUGAAAGACACUAUUCACAAAAAUAUGAUUAAGAUGAAAUCACUUUGUACAAAACGAUAACAAAUGAAAUUUUAAAAUUAAAAUAAUUUAUUUUUGUCUAAAUUAAAAUUUAGAAAAAAAAAAAAACACUGUAAUUGUAAAUAGAUCAUAAGGAGAGAAGGGCAAAAUGAAAAAUUUAUGUUAGGAGGGAAUAUCAGUGAGAAAUUGAAAAUGAGAGGGGGUAUCUUGUUAUUAUCAUAAACCUCAUAUGAGCCCUUAGCAAUUUACUCUGCUUUCAAUUAUUUAAAAAUAAUAAUAAUAAUAAUAAUAAUAAUGGCACUUCUUCUAACUUGCUUUAAGUGCCGAAGAGAAAUUUAUCAAAUAUGUACAAGAAUUUCGAAAUUUGAAUUUUAGGACUCUUGAAAUCGUGUAGCUAAAGCAUUAAACUAAAGUCAAUUUAUAAUAAUUGAGUUUAAACCUAUGUUUGGUCUGGAUAAAAAAUUAAAUUUCAGUGUAUUUUGAUUAAAAAAAAUAGUGAAAUGUGUGAUUGAAAAAUUGAUAAUAAUUUUAAAUCCCAUGAAAUAUAACAAAUAAGGGUCAAACACGGGUUUAGUUUCCCAUAUUAAUCACAAGAAUUAUUAUUAUUUUUUUUUUUCUCACAAGACAAUAGUAUAUGACAACCACAUAGCAAUGGUCAUUGGAACAAAAUUUACUCAAAAUCCAGUUGCCUUGGAUAUUCUCAAUAUAACUAACAAACCAACCAAAAUUUAGUGAAACUUGUAUUUGGUUUUAACAUAAAAUCAAUUGCAAUAAUAUACUUUUUCUCACAAAGUAUUUGGUUAUUUGGUGUAAAAGUGAUGAACAAUGCUCUAUGACAAUCAGUGACAACCGUCACACUCGUUAGAAAUAUAUAAAGAUUUAAUUAUAGUAAAUAAUUACUAUAUCAUUUUAGAUGUUAUUAAUUCAAGAAUUAAGUAUUGAUCACGACCUACCUCUUUGAUACCUAAAUUCUUUGACCCGAUUACCUCUUAACCAAACCAUCUCCAUCUUUGAUAGUAACGCGCCAUAAACAAAAAAUUAUGUACGGCUUUUGUACGUUAAUGAAGCUUCCUAGAAAUUUCUUACAAAGAGAAACCAACAAAUUGAUCUUUAUCGUAGGUCCAUUUCUUGACAUCAAUUCUUGAAUACGUUUGAGAUUUUUAGGUGGUUACGAUAUAUUGAUGAAUUGAGUACACAUAAGGUUUUGACUACAAUCUGAUAGAAUCGUGAUGAACUUCUUAGUACAUGUUUGGUUGAGCGUAAAAAUAAGAAAACUUCCUAACUAUAGCCGGACAGCUUCCCUGCCAACAUUUUGGUACAGAUUUUGGACCUAUUUUAUCUUUUUUAUGAUUAAAAAAAAUAGAAUGAUUUUUAACACUAUCACAUAAAAAAUAAU
rnacentral:lncRNA from 1 species